CCUACGGGAGGCAGCAGUCGGGAAUUUUGGGCAAUGGGCGAAAGCCUGACCCAGCAACGCCGCGUGAAGGAUGAAAUCCCUCGGGAUGUAAACUUCGCAAGAACGGGAAGAAUAAGUAGGGGACAAUACCCCCUAUGAUGACGGUACCGUUUGUAAGCUCCGGCUAACUCCGUGCCAGCAGCCGCGGUAAUACGGGGGGAGCAAGCGUUGUUCGGAUUUACUGGGCGUAAAGGGCGCGUAGGCGGUCAGCACAAGUCAGUUGUGAAAUCUCCGAGCUUAACUCGGAAAGGUCAACUGAUACUGUGCGACUAGAGUGCAGAAGGGGCAACUGGAAUUCUCGGUGUAGCGGUGAAAUGCGUAGAUAUCGAGAGGAACACCUGCGGCGAAGGCGGGUUGCUGGGCUGACACUGACGCUGAGGCGCGAAAGCUAGGGGAGCGAACGGGAUUAGAUACCCCGGUAGUCCUAGCCUUAAACGAUGAAUGCUUGGUGUCUGGGGUUAUAAAGUCCCCGGGUGCCGUCGCUAACGCCUUAAGCAUUCCGCCUGGGGAGUACGGUCGCAAGACUGAAACUCAAAGGAAUUGACGGA
rnacentral:rRNA from 1 species